UGAAGGUGGCCUGUGAGGGUUGCUGGAGGUAUCAGAAGUGCGAAUGCUGACAUAAGUAACGAUAAAGCGGGUGAAAAGCCCGCUCGCCGGAAGACCAAGGGUUCCUGUCCAACGUUAAUCGGGGCAGGGUGAGUCGACCCCUAAGGCGAGGCCGAAAGGCGUAGUCGAUGGGAAACGGGUUAAUAUUCCCGUACUUGGUGUUACUGCGAAGGGGGGACGGAGAAGGCUAUGUUGGCCGGGCGACGGUUGUCCCGGUUUAAGCGUGUAGGUGUGUGUUCCAGGUAAAUCCGGUUCACUUUAACACUGAGGCGUGACGACGAGGCACUACGGUGCUGAAGCAACAAAUGCCCUGCUUCCAGGAAAAGCCUCUAAGCAUCAGGUAACAUCAAAUCGUACCCCAAACCGACACAGGUGGUCAGGUAGAGAAUACCAAGGCGCUUGAGAGAACUCGGGUGAAGGAACUAGGCAAAAUGGUGCCGUAACUUCGGGAGAAGGCACGCUGACACGUAGGUGAAGUGAUUUACUCAUGGAGCUGAAGUCAGUCGAAGAUACCAGCUGGCUGCAACUGUUUAUUAAAAACACAGCACUGUGCAAACACGAAAGUGGACGUAUACGGUGUGACGCCUGCCCGGUGCCGGAAGGUUAAUUGAUGGGGUCAGCGCAAGCGAAGCUCCUGAUCGAAGCCCCGGUAAACGGCGGCCGUAACUAUAACGGUCCUAAGGUAGCGAAAUUCCUUGUCGGGUAAGUUCCGACCUGCACGAAUGGCGUAAUGAUGGCCAGGCUGUCUCCACCCGAGACUCAGUGAAAUUGAACUCGCUGUGAAGAUGCAGUGUACCCGCGGCAAGACGGAAAGACCCCGUGAACCUUUACUAUAGCUUGACACUGAACAUUGAGCCUUGAUGUGUAG
rnacentral:rRNA from 1 species